AUUCUUUCGCAGAGGCAAUAUUGUAGCCUAUGAGGUUUAUCCGAGGCGCGAUCAUUGCUGGUUGAAANAAACGAUAUUGUUUGUUACUAGUAAAUCUAACCAAAAUGGGU
rnacentral:snRNA from 12 species